AUUGAACGCUGGCGGCAUGCCUAACACAUGCAAGUCGAACGGCAGCACAGAGGAGCUUGCUCCUUGGGUGGCGAGUGGCGGACGGGUGAGUAAAGCAUCGGGACCUACCCAGACGUGGGGGAUAACGUAGGGAAACUUACGCUAAUACCGCAUACGUCCUACGGGAGAAAGCAGGGGGACCUUCGGGCCUUGCGCGGUUGGACGGACCGAUGUUCGAUUAGCUAGUUGGUGAGGUAAAGGCUUACCAAGGCGACGAUCUGUAGCGGGUCUGAGAGGAUGAUCCGCCACACUGGAACUGAGACACGGUCCAGACUCCUACGGGAGGCAGCAGUGGGGAAUUUUGGACAAUGGGCGCAAGCCUGAUCCAGCCAUGCCGCGUGAGUGAAGAAGGCCU
rnacentral:rRNA from 1 species